UACGUAGGGGGCUAGCGUUGUCCGGAAUCAUUGGGCGUAAAGAGCGUGUAGGCGGCUUGGUAAGUCCGCUGUGAAAGUCCAGGGCUCAACCCUGGAAUGCCAGUGGAUACUGUCAAGCUAGAGUCCGGAAGAGGCGAGUGGAAUUCCUGGUGUAGCGGUGAAAUGCGCAGAUAUCAGGAGGAACAUCAAUGGCGAAGGCAGCUCGCUGGGACGGUACUGACGCUGAGACGCGAAAGCGUGGGGAGCAAACAGG
rnacentral:rRNA from 1 species